rnacentral:lncRNA from 10 species
AACAUUUGUGACCAGCCUAGGCGACAUAGUGAGACCUGUCUCUACAAAAAAUAUAUAAUUAGCUGGGCGUGGUGGCGCGCGCCUGUGGUCCAAGCUUCUCCGGAGGCUGAGGUCGGGGGAUCGCCUGAGCCCUGGAGGUCGUUGCUGCAUUGAGCCGUGAACGCACCACUGCAUUCCAGCCUGGGCAACAGAGCGAACUCUAUCUCAAAACAAAACAAAACAAAACAAGAAAAAGAAAAAAAGAAGAAAAUUAAAAAAAAAAAGAAAGAAAAAGAACGUCCCAGGGUAAGGUCUGAGGAUUGCGUCAUUAGGCGAUUUUGUUGCUGUACGAACACCACAGAAUGUACUUUGACGACCUAGAUGGUGGAGCCUGGACACACCUCGGCUCUGUGGUGUGGCCUGCUGCUUCCAGGCUGCAAACCUGACAGCAUGGGGCUGUACUGAAUACCGCAGACCAUUGUAAUUCAUGGGGAAAGCGCGAAUGCAGUCCCCCACUACAACAAAUUAUGCAGUCGAGUUUUCCACAUUUGGGAAUAUCACAGGGGUCAGCACAUCCGGAGUGCAAUCGAUGAGCCCCACGCUGGGAAAAACCACCUUCGUGAUCAUGGUAUCUUCCCUGCCAGAGAGAAACCAAUCAGCUUCAUUUUCAACUUCUUCUAUGACUCCAGAGGAUUCACUUUGCAUCUUGUGACAAAUGAAUAUAUUACCUGAAAAAAAAAUGACAGGAUAGAUAUUGAAGAAAUAAUUUUUUAUAGGACUCUGGAGUGAAGGGAUUAAUAUUGACCAGAGCCAAUGAGGUCAUCUCAUCCUUGAGGGGAGCAGGUGUGAGCUUCAAAUGCUUAGGGCCUCUGGAAGGAAGCUUCCCUGUUGGAGAAAUCACCAACCGGCUCAGCAUGGUCUGAAUGAGGAUGACAAAAGUGAAGAAAAAUGACGUCAUUGCCAGAGUCAAGUGUUUCUCCUAUCUUGGAGUUCAUAGGGCUGCUUGAAGAAUCCAGGAGGCAGACAAGCCCUCGCUGACAGACUCACAGCUUUCCUGCGUGUUUAUCAUGAAGACUGAGGAUUGGUUCAAAAUAAGUGAAACUAUAAUGAUAUUUCUCAGUUAUCAAUGUGAUUUGCAAAAUGAACCUAGCAUUUUGUAGUAAGUCAUUCUGAGAAUUCGUUUUUUGUAAUGCUGAUUAUCAUAUGGAAAGUAAAACACAUCUAUUACAUAUGAAACAGUGGGUAGCCACACCUGGAAUGCAGCACAUAGUUCUAGUUGUCACAUCUCAAAGAAAGUAUAAGGGGCCUAGAAAAUAUUCAGAUAAAAAUUAUUCAUAUCAGGGAAGACAAUAUUAGAAUUUCUAGUCAGGAAAUAUGAGGGCCAAGAGAAUUUGUGAGCACCACUUAUGAUGUAGGGAAGAAUAUUAUGUUAAUAUAGUCGUUAUUGCUGGAAUAAUAGAAUUAUGAGUAACCCUUUCAAAAUCUCAAAUAACAUAGUUUGAGAUAAGACAUAUGAAAAGAACUUCUGCUUGGAAGCAGAGGAAUUUGAAAAUUUAUUGAAAGAUGACACAGGUUGAGAGUAUAAAUGUGCUCUAGAGAGGGCAAAUAAUUCCAUAAGGAAUAGCUGUAGCACAGAUGAUUGAGGGAGAUAAGGGAAAUUUGGGGGAUAGCUACUUGACUUAUGAAGAUGGUGAGAAGAGAAGGCAACCUC